GAUAUCCACCAAAUCUUGAUACUAUAAGAAUUUUAAACUUAUGACAAUUCAGUAAGCAUAAAUUGAAUAACUGUCUUCUCUCUGUUCACCUGCCUACUUACCAAGGAUGCAGUCUCUUAUCAAAAGAAACAAGGACAGGAAAUCAAAACAGGAACAUGGAGUUGUGGUAGCAGCAGCAACAUCUGAAUCUGCACUGGGGGCUUAAGUGACAGAGCUCUGACUCAAGUCUCUGCAGGCAACAGGAGCAUGGCCAACCAG